ACAACAACAUUCGGACCGUCGGUCUACCGAGUAAUAUCAUCCGCUCGGUGGAAGAUCUUCCCUUUCUCGCAUAUU
rnacentral:pre_miRNA from 1 species